rnacentral:rRNA from 1 species
GCGCAGCAGGCGAGAAUCCUCCACAAUGCACGAAAGUGUGAUGGGGUUACCCUGAGUGCCAUCCGAUGAGGAUGGCUUUUCACCAGUGUAAGGCGCUGGUGGAAUAAGGGGAGGGCAAGGCUGGUGCCAGCCGCCGCGGUAAAACCAGGCUCCUCGAGUGGUCGGGAUGAUUAUUGGGCCUAAAGCGUCCGUAGCCGGUCUGGUAAGUCCCCGGUUAAAUCCGGCAGCCUAACUGUCGGCCUGCUGGGGAUACUGCUAGACUUGGGGGUGGGAUAGGCUAAAGGUACUCCCAGGGUAGGGUGAAAUCCUAUAAUCCUGGGGGGACCACCAGUGGCGAAGGCGUUUAGCUGGAACACGGCCCGACGGUGAGGGACG